rnacentral:lncRNA from 1 species
GUCCCUUGGGGGUUUGAUUUCCCAUAUACACCUAAUCUUUCCCCAUUCUUGCGCAUGGUUCAUGGCUUAGAAAGUGGCUAUCGGACUGUCACUUCCUGUUCCUUUUCUUUUUUAAAAAAAGAGUCUUUCAAAGCCUUAAAUAGAGGCCCCAGAGAGGUCUGAAGUGCUGCCACCCCACUCAAGUUACAUUAAUUCUUUAAUCUUCCCACCAUAAUCUUCCAGUACUCACCUACUGUACUUUUCUUCCUGACCUAGGGACGUUCCACGUAUGUUGUUCCGACACAGCAGUAUCCUGUCCCGCCAGGUGCCCCCAGCUUUUAUCCUGCAGCCAGCCCCACAGAAUUCAGCACCUAUGGUGCCUAUUACCCAGCCCAGAGUGUGCAGCAGUUCCCAGCUGCCCAGGUCAUGAUGAAUCAACAGCCACCAAUCCCGCCAAAGCGAGAGCGCAAGACGGUAAGACUGAAGAUUGGGGACUAGUUGCAGGGUGGGAUUUUUUUAGGCUUCCAUAUUCACAGGUUCCUUUCUUUUCUUUUUUUCCCCUCCCCUCCUAGUUGAUCUGUUGGUUCCCCCUCAUGCACCCUGUCUAAUUUUGUUUAACUUUAUUCAUUUUCAAUUUAUGUUGUAUAUAUAUGCAAUACAGGAAAACAAGUAGGUGCUUGACACUGCCCUCCAGAAUUCAAAUAUAAUUGAUUAAACUCUUGUCUUUCUUGCUGUAGGUGGUAAGGAAAUAAUGUAUAAAUCAGUGUGCUUCUAGAUGUUGGGUAGGUCCAAAGUUUGCUUGCUGAUGAGAUUUCCUUACAGAUUUACUCAAAAGUAAGCCCCACCAAGGUCAGUGAGAUUUGAUCUGACAUUAUUUUCCAAGUAAAAAGAGGCCUGGGUAGGUUGUGUCGUUUGUGAAAAAUUAGAUUGCCCCAAAACUCGGACUGAUGCAGAUGGAAGUUCAGGUAGCUUUUAAUGUCACAGAGAUGGAGGCUGAGUUGGAUUUUCUAAGGAUCCACUCCCGACAGUCUGGUUAGUACCUGGCAGGGAUAGUAGCUCAGUCCGGAGCAUGUGAGACCUCCAGUAGAACACAUUCUGGCUUGGAUUGCUGCGGAAGUACUCCAGUUGGUCCCUUAGGGGAAGAGACUGUUGCAGUCAGAAUGCUUAAUACCUUAUUAGAUACGCUGUGGAUUGACUUAAAGCAGAGUUUAUUUAUUAUGUAUUUAAAAUAUUUUUAUAUCCCGCCUUUCUCCUUAAAAAGAACCCAAGAUAGUAUUCAUCAUUAAAAAGACAAUAUUUAGAAGCUAAAAACAGUAGGUAUACAAAUAUUUUGAAAGAAUUAAACAGGUAUGAUAUUAAACACGGUAAUAAAAUCAAUACUAAAACACA